AAACAACCAGAGAACUGGUGAACCAAACAGGUCAAGUUCAAGCAGGUAAGGAGGGCAGUUUGCAGCCCAUGGGGGUUGUACAAUAACCAUUUGAAUUAGGCACCAUACCAAGAUGUGACAUAGAACUGGUGAACCAGCCUGGUCAGGUUCAAGCAUGUAGGGAGGGUAGUUUGCAGCCCAUGGGGGUUGAAUUUGAGUCUUCUG
rnacentral:misc_RNA from 1 species